UCGCAGAUCAGAAUGCUGCGGUGAAUGCGUUCCCGGGUCUUGUACACACCGCCCGUCACACCACGGGAGUUGGAGACGCCCGAAGCCGAUUAUCUAACCUGUUGGAAGAAGUCGUCGAAGGUGGAAUUAAUAACUGGGGUGAAGUCGUAACAAGGUAGCCGUAUCGGAAGGUGCGGCUGGAUCACCUCCUUUCUAAGGAGA
rnacentral:rRNA from 1 species